AAAAGAUGGUAGGAGUUGACGGCAAAGGUAUGAUAAGAUAUUGAUACGAAUUGCGAUAAAAAGGAAGUAUUGUACCAAUCCCCCCGACCUUUUCUCUCUCUUAGACGCUCUGUCUUCUCUCCUAACCAGCAACUCUCAAAUUUUCAGAUUUACAGCUCCGGCGGUUUCCAUAGCGUCGGAGCUGUGCUGUCUUGUUUAUAGAUCUCCUCUGUGUGGUCCUUUUAAAAUCUGUCUUGUACCUGGUUUUUUUUCUUUUCUUCUUUGUCUUGUUGUAGCCUGUUUGUUAAUGGUGUAGCUCUUUAGGUCUUGAGGAGAUCCUUCAGUGGUCCGUAAGAUGUGGUGUGGGUUGAUUUCAUCGUCGCUGCGGCGGUUCCCUUGAUUGUUUUGGCUAGAUCUGUAUUUUUUUCUGGUGUACGGUGCUGGUUGAUGCCGUCUCUGAUGUGGGUUGUUAUUUCUUUCAUUAGAUUUGGUCAAAGCUCUGUUUUGUUAGUCGUUUGUGGUCGGCUUUUUGGUCUUUAGUGCUCACCCCUUCUCUGGUUUCUGGUAACCCAAGGAGCUCCUCUUUUCUGGUUUCGAUUUGUGUUUUUCUCACCGCAUGGUAUCAGGUUUAUGUCUCUCCAUGGAUGGGGCUGUAGUCUCUGGGAAGAGGUGGUUCACAUAACACCAUCUUCGCCGGCUUUUGUCUCCGGGAAGAGUUGAUUUUCCAUUCCUGUAUUUGGUCGCUGCAUCUUCAAGGAUGCUAUUAUCAUUAAAGAUGCUUGCUCUUAUUUGUUGGAAGACCGAAGCUCUGGAUUCAAGCCUUUUUCAGUAUGGUUUCGCUGAUGGUGAAGUUCCGUUGGAGGAAGCUCAUGUCUCCCGGUUGUGAUGAGUGUUCACGCGGUGGUGUUGAGUCCUGUGUGGCUUUAAGACCUGUUUAAAGCUUUUGUAAUUUCUGUUUUGGGUUUUGUUCAGCCUUGUUCGAUGCUUAUGUUAGGCUUAGUUCUUUUUGGAAUUAAGACCUUUAAUAAAACAACAGAAGAAAAAAAAAAGGAAGUAUUGUACCAUUUUCUUCCGUGUAGCUUGGCUAAAUCUUUUGUCACUAAGCAAAUGGUAUCUGUCUAUUAUCGAGGAAAAUAUUUUGGAUUUU